AGCAGCUUUGUUUGGCUCUGCUAGGCACGUCACAAUGGCCAAAAUUAUGUCUUUGCUCUGUUGACUGGUUACCGUGACCCUCCUGCUGGAAUUUCGAUCAGAGAGGGGUUACACUACAAUCCCUAUUUCCCUGGUGGAGCAAUUGCUAUGCCAAAGAUGCUUAAUGAUGAAGCUGUGGAAUAU